AUGGACCAAGAUCUCCACUACAGUGAAUAUAGUGGAUGUUGUACUGCCUCCAGAGCCCAAGACCAAAGAGAACAGUUGUUACAAUAUUCCUGUCAGCUCACACUGGACCCCAAACACAGCA